rnacentral:rRNA from 1 species
AGGACGAACGCUGGCGGCGUGCUUAACACAUGCAAGUCGAACGAGGCCCUGCCUUCGGGCAGGUGACCUAGUGGCGAACGGGUGAGUAACACGUGGGCAACCUACCCUCAGCUCUGGGAUAACCCCGGGAAACCGGAGCUAAUACCGGAUACGACCUGGAACGACAUCGUUCCUGGUGGAAAGUUUUUCGGCUGAGGAUGGGCCCGCGGCCUAUCAGCUUGUUGGUGGGUAAUGGCCUACCAAGGCGACGACGGGUA